GAAGCAUCUGUGUGAGAGAGAGAACCCAUUUUUGUUUCAUCUCUUUUUUUCUGUUUCAUUUCUAUUCCAUAUCAAGUCUGCUAAUUUGAAUUCGCAUAAGCAACAACGAGUGUUCUUGGUUUCUGCAGAAGAGAAUGGAGACUGAAUCAAGGAAUGAAUCAACCAUUGACAAACCUAAUAUCCAGUUGGUAUUCUGAUUUCAUUUGAAGCAGCGACAUCAAUGGAUUCAGGGGUUUCUGAAUCUCAAUAGAAGUUCAUGAGAGAGUGGUGGAUCAGCUAAAUUAGAAGUGUAUCCAAUUUUAGGUUAGCAAUCAAUUUGAUUAUGUUUGAAGAAUAUAUUCGGUUGGUAAAUCAUGAAUUUGAAUUAGCAGCUUUGGUCUUUUUUGGAAUUAAUCGGCUGCAACGUAGAAUAGCAAAGUUAGGAUUUGAUUGUUGGCUAGCUAAGCUUUUGGAAAAAUAACGGAACUUGAUGGAAAUAUAACGGAACUUAACGGUAGCGGCUGAGCCACUAUCCAUUUCGUUAAAUGCCGUUGACAGCCCUAGCUUCAUGUGUUCGGUGGUCUUAGAUAGCUAAAUGCUCAAUAUGUACAACUAGCUCCGGUACAUUUUAGAUAGACCACAUGCAUAUAGGAAGGAACAGUUAUUAAUGCAGUCCUACCUACUUGUAUCCCAAUUCCCAAUCUAUCUCUAUUUGCUUGAAUAUUUCAAACACAAAAUUGGUCAAAAAGAUCGAAACAAACAAUUUCUGGGUGAAAUAGAUUUCUAGCUUUUUAUACUGUUUAUAUAGCCAAAAAUCAAAAAUAUACUGUUGAAUUAGCCAAUUUAGAUAUUUCACCCAGAAACAAGUGAAUAAAGAAAAUAUUUUUGACUAAAAUACCCAUUACUUAGAAACGAUAUUGCACAAAAGUAUUUCCUUCUCUUUAUAUCGACAGAAACGAUAUACAACAGAGACAAAAAUUCUCUUCCAGAUCUGAGAGCUCAAUCAUGGUGAUGAACUGCUGUGAAAUCAACAUUUAAGUUAUUUCUUCUAUCAAAAUCUUUUCAUAUCUUCGAACGAUGGCUCCCAAUCUCCAAAUUCUUUGUGUGACUAUACAUUUAACCAGAUGCAAACCAGUUUCUAAAUUCUUGGAUUACCUUAGCGAAGAGCAUGCCUACUGCAAUAUUAGUCGACUACAUUCGAUUAAAAACUGAGUAUGGUGGUUAGCAUGGAAAUGGAUAAGAUAGAAGUGUUGUUGCUGAUUGAUAUUGUUGUAGCUGAGAUGAGUUACGAAGAAUGCAGGGUUGGUAUGUUGGUGCCAAGGAAAGGAAGCUAUGAUGUUAGUGUUGAUAGUGCUUCAAGUGGCCUGGUUGAGAUGAAGUUACAGUUAAGCUGAGCAAAUGGCUAGUAAAGAAGAUGGUAUGCAACUGAAAUGCCAUGAGCUUGUAAUGAAGUUGUACUCUGAUGCAGCGAUAAUGGAGAUGAGAGCGAGGGGAUCUGAUGCUGAGAAAGAUUAAGAGAAUGGGUUGCAUUCAGAUUUGGUUUUGGUCCGAGUAUGGAGAUGCAGAAUUGCAAGAAUUGGUUGAAGCAUGAAAGUGAUUGAAUCUGACCCUGAGUUGUGUUGGAUUUUGGUUGUUCUGGUAGUGCAGACUGAAUGAAUGGAUUAUGUGUGUGCUUGUAAGUUGCAGGUAACUCAGGACAUUGCAGAUGAGUUGGUGUUGUCCGAUAGUAGGAAAUGUGACUGGUUUUAUGGCCAGUUCGGGGAGGAGCAGUGAUGAGAUGGUCAGAGUAGAAAUUGCAGUUGGUAGUUAUGAAAAUAUGUUAAGGGAAAAGUGGUUUAAUGGUUAAGACGGAACUGGGGUUUUCUAUAUUAACGGAGUUCAGUUUGAAUUGGCUGGAAUGUAAAUGUUUGUGCUUGAUGGAGCAGAUAGGUUGAGGUGCAGGUGAUGAUUGAACGUGAUAUAAAAAUAUGUUUGGAAUGUUGUUAUUAUUGAAAAGUUGUACUGAAGUUGUAAGCGGCAUAUGGAUCAGUUUUUCUUUAUGUAUUUAACUGAAUAAUAACAUUAACUCUAUU